UUGGGAAAUAAAUAUAUAAUGUCAUGAAAAUCUUGUUAGGAUUUAUUAGUUCCUGCCCGCAGGAAACUAUAGCGGAGGCAAUUUCUCUUAACGCGCAACCAAUCAUAAAUUAUUUUGUUGCAAAAGCUUUCUUAUUUUCUUAGUUCCUACCAGGAGUUUGCAGCGGAUCACGCGGUUCUCAACGAGAAAGAACGCAUGUCUCCAGAGGCAGCUACAGAGCGUCAAAGCAGAGUUCCCGACGGUAGCUUGAACCUGGCAAAAUGCAUUUGGAAAACCAUGCAAUGCGGUGUCGUGCAUGCAAACCUUGUGUGGAAGCAAAUACUGUAAACACAUUUUCUGGUGCAGAUUUUUAAGGAGGGAAAAUACAGUUGUUCAAAACUCCUGAAUGAUGUGUCCUCUUGCCUGAGUAUUCAUAUCUCCCGGACAUAUCCGCUCCAGGGUCGAUUUCAGGUGAUGUACAGAUCAUCCUGCUUCAGGAUAUUCCAGUUCCUCUAGCCAACCGAGAUAAGUGUUGAGCCCUUGCAUGACCACUACAUAAGAGGGCGAUUCAAGACAUUUUUUUAAGAUGAAAUUACAUUUCGUCUUCAACAGCAAAAAAAGUCUAACACUGCAUUUUUAUGACCGCCAAAUUUGUGGGAAAUAAGAUUGAAGAGGGUUUGAAGGCGGUGAAUCCAUUUUCAUAACUACGACUGAUCUACAGAGGGAGCCUCUGUUAAUCACUGCAAAUAUAAUUCUUUUUGUAUGAUGUUGGAGGUUUUCACAUUUGCUCACAAGUGGAUUCCUUUCUGCAAGUCAAUUCUGUCGAACCUCGUUACCCAACUAAAUUAUUUUCUUCUCACACGGCUUCUCCCCUUUCCGAAUAGAGAAAUGAAUUGAAGGAAGAAUAUAAACACAGUUGGAGAAUUGGGUUAACGAUUUAGCACAGAAGCCUCAGGAAGCCCUAAAAUUUUUACGGUGAUACACGUCUUGGGAUUAUGAUAAUCUUAUGGCCACCCACCUAUAGUUGAGGUUGUGAAUAACAUUGGAAUUGGUAGAUCUAAAUAGCUUGCUCCCUUGCUUAUGCAUGCAACGCCGGAAAAGAGCACCACCAAAAUCCUUUGUGAUCUGGAUGAGAAGUUUUGUCAAUAUCACACUAGGGUGGGGGGCAUUUUUUUCCUUGAUAACAAAGAACUGGGGAAGGGUAAAUACAUAGAUUCCAACCUGCAAACAACCAUUGAAACGUGAUAUUUUCAUAGCACUAUACAGAAUCAACUUGGUGUCUGAAGGAUGCGGCCCAGAUGUGUAGAUCCAAUGGCUUCAUCAUUCCCCUGUUUUAUGAUGCAGAACCCUAUGAUGUUCGCUAGAAGGAGGUCCAUUCGCAGACCCAUUCAAAAAAUGUUAUAGUCAUUUAGAUCAGCAAGAUGAGAAUACAAUCAAGGAAUGGGAGAAUGCUUUUCAUCAAAUCUCUUCUUUUCCUAGUAGAACGAGGGCGGAAGAAUUCAGGUAAGUAAUUUGCAUCCUUUUCUUUCAAUUAACCCAUGGAAAAAACCAAAAGAGAACUUUAUUGAGAGGUCCAGUCAUUAUUAUUAGCCAUUUGUUUAGGGGAGAAACUGUUUGGUUACCAAUUCUUUAAAAGUAGCCUGAUUUUCUUCUUGUUCAACUUUCUACCCUGUUUCUACCAUAAUACUAGAUUCUGGGCUCCUCCUCAGACCCUAUUGCUUGGUUUAGGGGAUUUAUUGAUUUCUUCAAGAUUUUGUUUCAGAUCUCUUUCUAUCCCCCAAACCACUUUCAUCCCUCAAAUUUUCUAGCCAUCCAAUUUCUACCUACAUCAAAUCAGGUCGCCUCCUGUUCAUAUCGUUCGUGACAUUUUCCAGGUUCCUUCAGUUCGAUGAUUAUUAUUGGUACUCUCAUUUCAUUUACUCGAGGAUAUGUAUUCAUAUCAUUCCAGGAUAUGGAAUUUCAGUCAUGUGAAUCUCAUCUUUGUUUGAUUUUCUAGUUUCCAAUGGUGCGAUCGUGUGGGUAUUUUUUGCUCUUUUUCAGACUCAAAUUUUCCCUAAUUUGGAUAUAGUUACUCUGAUGCAAUCAAUGUUCCUAUUAUUUCUACAAGCUGUGAGGAUCGAAAACUACAGGCAAAUAUUGCUACUUCUUUCCAGGUUCCAGUCUCUCUUUUAACUUCAUUCAUACACUUUAGGAUAAAUUUAUAUUGGAAAACACAAUUAACAUUCUAUAAUCCAUGCACUGAAAUUGAUUUUGCAAAAAGGAUGAAUCACUUCUCAGCAUAUCUUGUGAAAGGGUCAUAUUUGUCAUACUGAUGAUUAUAUAAAUUCUUAAGUAAGAUGAUAAGAGGAUAAUUUUCCCUAACCAUCGGUAUUCCUGAUUUAUUGUUAUGUUAAGAAAGUUGCUAUUUUACACUUGUCCUCUUAUCAUCUUACUCAAGCAUUUAUAUAAUCAUUAGUAUGAUAAAUAUGACCCUUUCACAAGAAAUGCUGAGAAGUGUAACAUCCUUUUUGGAAAAAUCAAUUUCAGUGCAUGGAUUAUAGAAUGUUAACUAUGUGUUUUCUAAUAUAAAUUGGUCCUAAAGUGUAUGAAUGGAGUUAAAAGAGAGUCUGGCAGCUGCAAAGAACCAGCAAUAUUUGCCUGUAGUUUUCGGUCCUCAUAGUUUGUAAAAAUAAUAGGAACACUAAUUGCAUUGCUGAAUCAGAAAUAAUAAACCCACAAUAAGAUUCUCUCUUUAAUUUGAAGAAAUGUUCCCCAGGAAUUCAUUUUUUACACAUACCACAAGGCUAACAUCAUAAAUAGCAAAUUACUAAAAUCUUGUUACUUUCCAGUUAAACAUUGUUGUUUGGAAGGACUGAAGUUGUGUACUAGCAGAUAUACUUAGAGUCUUAGUACUUGUGCUAUCACUAGCCACCUAUUAAAUCUAGUGAAAAAAGCACCCCCUAUUACUCGGUUUGUCCCUGUACACAUCAACGAUCACCUCUACAUUUGCCUAUUCGUCAUAAAAAAAUGUAGUUCUAAUUUCUAAGUAAAAAAGGCAUUAGUCCUUAGUAAAUAUAAAACCUAGAGUCUUAAAACCUUUCUCAGAUAGAAAUUGUGUUGCUCCAGUCUAUCCUAUUGUAAAUUUGGAGUGCAAGCAUGUCUGAUGGUAAUCUCUGCUCCUAUUUAAAAUAUCAAAUAGUCGUUAGACUUGAUCAAUAUUAAGUUUUUUUUCAUGAUACUUUGGAAUAAAUAAUGUAAAGAUGUUUUAUAUAUUAAUUAGUUAUUUGUAGUUUAAGCAAAUCAUCAUUUUAAUAUCUAAUGGAUUAGAAGAGGUUAUUUUUUUUGUUUCUGUUGCUUUUAUGUAUGGAUUAGAAUAUGUAGAUUCUUGAAACACAAACUAUUAACCACAGAAAUUAAUAUUUUAUUUAGAAUAGAUUACAUUUUACAACUCAAAAUAGAGGUUUUACAUCAAUUUUUUGUUGCUCAAUAUAUUACAGACUUGGACACUUCUCUUUAUAGAAAUAAUAGUCCCUAAAAGUAGACCAUAAACUAAAUUUGUUUGUUCCAUACAUUUAGCAUGCACAGUUUAGAAAUCAAAUUAACUUCAAGACUUCUAAAUUGAAAAUUCUAAAAAUAUGACCACUCAUGCAUUAUGCAUACAAUGCAUCACAUACUAACAUGAUAUUUGUUGUAUUGGUCAGAACUUAAGAAGAACAAUAUCUUUAAGAAUUAAUGAUCACAAACAUUUAAUUAGUGAUCCUCUUUCUAUGACUAUUAUUCAAGUGACUGUAUUCUAUCUUUUUCUGACCUUCUUCAUUGUAUAGUCUUUGACUAUCCCAUUGCUUUGCUUUUGGUGCCUGUCACCCUAUUGAUCGCUAUUUCGGGCUCUUGAUAUUGUGAUGUAUGGGCUUUCUAAGUGCUUUGUGACAAAUGAUCUAUUUGAUUGAAUGAAUAUCUUUACAUUGCUCUGCUCUUGGCUUAGCUACAAACUUUUUUAUUGGUUGUAUGCGAUCAAUGUUGACCAUCCUUAAAAUUUUGUCUUUACCCAUAUUCUCACUGAGAAUCAUAAAUAUCACAAUGCUCUCAUCUCCGUGACAUGUAAAUCUGCACUCUUGGAUGUCUUUUGAACUACUCAAUGUACAUGCAUCUCCAAAAAGUUGGUGAUUGACCCUUUGAUUACUAUUGUACUAUGUAUCCUUGUCAUUAUUUGAUGAUUGUACAAAGUCAUUGUUAUAGCUCCUCUUGGUGACUAUAUAUAGAUAAAAGAUUGUCAAAUGAUUCCAAAUCUAUCACAACCUUAUCCUUCAAUUUGGUCUCACUAAUUCCAAAUCUAUCACAACCUUAUCCUUCAAUUUGGUCUCACUAAUCUUUGAACUGUGAAAUAUCCCUAUGCCUUUAGGUGCUCUAUGCUCAUGGGUUAUGCCUUCAUCAUUACUCCUUUAUCUAUCACUAUGAUUGCAAAAGUUGAUUGGGUGCUUUUAUGCUUUUGAUCAUUAAUUGUCAUUGGAGGUCUUUCAUUUGCUUCCCUUAC